ensembl:lncRNA
CAUCCACUUGAGCUGCGGCAAAACGUCAGAAGGACUCGGGUAUUUUUAUAUUGCAGGACUAAGACAGAAUGUCUGUGCAAUAAUCUUAGCGUUAGCAAGGACACGUACCAAGCUGUUCUUUGCCAUUCUGUUUUACUGCGUGCCACUCGAGGUGAUGCAUUGCAUGUUGAUUUAAGCAGGCUGGGAGGGAAAAGCUAGCUGCACAGAAUGCUCACGUGUGCUUUGGGAUGGGAUUUUUCACAAGUUUAAGGACGGUUGGUGCUAACCUGCUUUAGACCAGAAGCUUAGAGUUUGCUUUGACUAGAAGUUGGUACUGGGUGUCUGUAUGUCUAUCCCUUACAUUCCAGCUUUCAGGUUUUCAGAAAAUCAGAAAUUCAACUGAAAUGGAAGGAGGAAACUCUGAAACAGUGCUGCCAUAAGGAUCUGACUAUCUGGCUUUUUUGAAUGAUUCCUGAAGGCUGCGAUUCAAUGUCUCCGUGUAAUGGAAUUGAUUUCCUUCAGUUAAGUUGGUUUCUCCCUUGGUUUUCUGUGAUGGCUUUAACCUGCGGCGCCAUGAGCAGGCAAUCUGAAGGCUGUGGUUGGUGACUCAUGCAUUAGUUUUGCCUCUGGCAUUGCUACGGAAAAUCCAUUUCCGUCCAAACUGAAGCUGUCUGUUGAGCGUUAUGUAGUGUGCUGCCUUCGUUUUCUUUUCAAUGAAAAGCUCUUCCAUCUAGAAAUACACGUUCAGACUCUUGCAUUCCAGGUAUGUUUCUGGGGAAGACUGGAAAUACUUUUAACCUUCUCCUCACGGAAUGUAUGUAGGCUGCUCCGAAAGUAAUGCCUUCUAUUUAUUCCCAUGGAAGCUGCAACAGUUAUAAAGAGUACAAUAACACCGUUUGAUAGAACAAAUUCUCAGCUACAAAGCACUAUUUUUCAACAUGGUCGCCAUCAUUAGCUAUGCAUUUUCAUCCGUGAUGCACAAGAGCCUGUCCAGAACAUAGCUUAUCUUUCACGUUGCUGUUGAAAUGCACCACGCACCCACUCACUGUUCUCACAUCCACUGUUUUGUCUCCAUAAAUGUUCAGCAAGCGUCCAUGAAUGUCAGUGGGUGCCAUUUUUUCUGCGUGGAGAAAUCUGAUGAGACACCUUUCUUUCAUCCACCCUGCCUUGUCACAGACCAUUGUAUACGACUGUCCCUCUGCUGCCAUCUGUCACAUGGCAAUAACAUGUAACAGAAUAUUGGUAGGAAGGUUCAACCUCCACUGCCGUACCACCAGCAUCCACCUCUGAUGUUGUGGGCCAACAUAAUAAAGUAGGAGGCAUUACUUUUGGAGCAGGCCUUGCAUUUAGGGAGACAUUCGUCGAGGAUCAGUUUGACAUGGAUGCGUGAGGCAGGAAUUCAUGAAUUUCACCGUGUCGAACAUCCAGGUCUUGGUGCCUGUGAGAUGAGUUUUCUCUUCUAAACAGCGGAAGUUAUCUCCUCUCCGCCUUCUUUCUGCCUGCCUUUCGUCCCAGCAAGGCAGGAAACUGGCUUUGCUAAUUCUUUAGAGAUCUCUGUGGCUUCCUAUCACUUACCUACCAGGUCUUUCUCCAGUAAUCUAUGAAGUCUUCUGUGAUGACAAGUGAGAAAUCUGGUGAUUGCUGCACAUCAGGUAUCAGUCGUGGAAGGCACACUCUGGUCUGGGAGCUGGAGGCAGGAAGCUCCUUGGCCUGUAAUCCUACAUUUCUACUUUAACAGCACAUACAAUUUGAGAUAGCUGUGAGCAAACGAAGCUGAAGGUUGGAAUUCAUGAAAAGAGAAGCGUUGUUUUUGCUAAUUGGCUAACAUCUGAAGGGUUUGGCAAUGUGAUUACCAGCUGCUAUAGUCUGCAAUUGAUGUCACCUUCUCUUUGUAUAUAAACAUUAGUCAUUUGCUAAAGAAUGUGAAAAACAGGUGUUCCCUGUUCAUUGGAAACCUAUUCUUUUAAUGGGAUACUAUAAGAUAGCACCUGACAUAGAACAAUCCCUCGUAUGUUUGCUGUUAUUAACAUAAACACACUUGAACAGUUCCUUAUGCGGUGCCAUUGGUAUGCGUAGCACAGCAAAGAUAAACAAAAUGACAGAUGCCUAAACCAGAUGAAACUACAAUUAACCUAAUGACAGACAAAAAUAAAGGAAGUGUGGCAGGAAAAUGUGAAGGAACAUAAAAAUCACUGCAAGCUGCACUCGUUAGCUUUGUUUUUUUCUUUUUAAAGAAGUACUUCUACAGUUUGUAGCCAAUACAGGAAGUGAAGGUUGAAGCUGUAACCUUGCAGAGGGAAAUUUGGCUUCCAGACGUGACUCUUUGAAAAGGUUUUGGAAUACAGGAGUGCUCUGCACACAGGAUGAGAAAAGACAUUGAAGAAUAAGCAGUAUGCAUGGAAAAUAACCCACAGUGAUUAGCGGAAAAAGGGAAUAAAGCUAUGUCCCAUAGGCGUGCCCUCUGGAGAGCUUCAACUCAACCUUCUUAUCAGCUGUAGAGUGCAGCAGGAAAAUUGGUACUGUGGCUCUGUAUGCACUCAAACUGGUAUGUUUAGCUUGAAUUUCCAUGAACAGAUUUCUUUAGAAAAUUUCAAAUUUGUGCACAGGAUUAAAUUCAAUAGGCAUUAAAUAAAAUAUACCUAAAUGAGAACGUAAUAAAAAGCAGCUAUUUGUCUACAGCAAGCUUUAAACGUUCCCAAGCAGCGUGCUCAAGGACAUUCACAUGGAGCUGCUUUGGCAGAGCAGAGGCUCGCUAGGUCAGAACAAGGCUCCCUGCUUCCAUCAGUAGAGCUGCUGAGUGCAGGCAGAGCACUGGAUUCACCCAGUGGGCUCUGGGUGCCCCAAGCCAGCCCAAGGGCCAGCAGCUCAGCUCCCGCUCUCACACCCCCAUGGGAUCCAGUUAUCAUAAAACUGUGUUCUGAAGAUAAAAAAUGAUCCAAGGGAUGGAACAUCUCCCCUAUGAGGACAGGCUGAGGGAGUUGAGGAUUUUCAGCCUGGAGAAGGCUCCAGGGAGACCUGGUAGCGGCCUUUGAGUAUCAAAAGAGGGGCUGUAAGAAAGAAGGGAACAGACUCUUUUGCGGGGUCUGCUGUGAUAGAAAAUGGGAAAAUGGUUUCAAACUAAAAGAGGGAAUAUAAGGAAGAAGCUUUUAAGAAUAAGGAUGGUGAGGCACUGGCACAGGUUGCUCAGAGAGGUGGCGGAUGCCCCAUCCCUGGAGAUACUCAAGCUGAGGCUGAAUGGGGCUCUGAGCACCUGAUGGAGCUGUAGGUGUGCCUGUCCAUUGCAGGGGAGUUGGACUUGAUGGCCUUUAAGGGUCCCUUCCAACUUAACCCAUUCUAAGAUUUAUGAAGAUUAGAGGGGUAGCUUUGAAGAUUGAGGUUACAUGAGAUGAGGCAUGCUCAGAACAACACAGUUCCAAAUUAAAAGUAAGGUUAAUUUUUGUUCUCGUAAUCAGAGUUACGUUUUUAAUGCAGGAGAUAGACAACUACCUAACAGUGCGGAACGCUCAGCUGCGGGUGAGCAGUCAAGCAGUGCCCCAGUAGAGCUAAAACAUUUUGCUGGGUUUGUGACAGCAUCGUUUUUUUCUCUUUUUUUUUGGUCUGUCACAAAUUGCCAUCGUCUCACAGCCAAAAUUGUUGGAAUUUUUUCCAUUGUGCACGAAGCAUUUUUAAACAAUAAUUCCAUCUAUUCUUAGCGAGAUGUUCUUUGGUGUGAAUUCUAUCUAUUGUUAGAAAGUGCUUUUGAGAAAAUAUGAUUCUAAUCUUAUGGCUUUUUGCCUUGAUAUCAAGAGACUUACUACCAAAUAUGCAGUCAUAUCUUUUGUUAAUAGAACCAAGUUACAGGAUCUAUUCAUAGAGCAGUAAUAAAUAAUGGUGGCAGCGGGGAGGGAUAUAUGUCAUUUUAGUUCUAGAAAACUGAUACUCCCAAAGGAUAAUGAUAUGAGGAAAAUUAGCUGCUGUCAACCUAGUUCAUAUAUAGUCUGUAUUGUAGGGAAAAAAGAAUGUAUUGGAAUAAACUCUGUGGAAAGAAAAAUGACAUUUAUAAGUAAGUUUUUCCAGCCAAAAGCCAUUUUUUUUCUAUUUCAGCCCCAAAGUGCACCCCUGACAUUUGCAUCGAGGGGCAUAUUUAGAUAUUUAGUGCAGUACAGUCCCAAAACUUUAUCAGAACGUUGGAAGCUGUUGUAAACAAGGAAACCAAAGUCAGGAGUCUCUCAGCAGAAAAGAGACCACCACCUGAAAUGGUUGCUGCUCAGUGUCUAGGCUUUCCUUUAUUCCCAUGGCAGAGUACAGGCCAUGCUAAGCAAGCUGAUCAAAACUGCAGAGGAGCUAGUGGUGGGAGAAAAACACAUCAUCAUAAUGUAUGCCAAGUGGAGGGUGGCAGGGAGACCCAACGGAGUGCCAUGCCUUUCACAUACACAACUUUCACAUUCUGAAUAAUUGUAACUUCCCUCAGUGUGACUCCCACAUUGCUCUAUCAGACCUGAUAAUGAAGUUAAAUCAGUCCAGUCCUCGAUCUCCGAUUUAGGCAGAUGUUAAAAUGAUAUCUCACUGCUUCUCAUGCACAUCUCAUGCGCUGUUUUUGGGGUGUUUGGGUUUUUUGUGCUGAUUUGGUUCCAGGGAACAUGCAACGACCUACAGAUUUGUUUCCCUAAUCGUGUCAGCUAUUGGCAGUACUGGUGUCCAAGACCUGUAAACCAAGGAAUAGUUUUGUGUGCAGCCCACUUUUUGAGGACAGCCAGGCCAGAAAGCUGUGCAUGGCAGACUGGAUGUCUGUAGGAGCCAGCAACUGUGAAUACAAAAAAGCUGCAGUCCCUCAACUUCUCCCCACAGGUUUCCCCUGGCAAUCCUGGCAUUGGAUCUUGUGAAGGAAACACCUGGCCCUUGGACUACACAAAGUCUAACAUCAGAGGCGCCAAUCAGCACUGUGAUGUUAUGCAUUCCAAAAGCUGAGAGCGUCUGGCGAAUGAAGCAAGAAACUGCACAAAGGGAAAGUCUGGUGAUUCAGUCAGCUGCUCCAUGCCCAGAGAAGUGGCCUACGGCCCUGCCCUUCCCACAGCACUCUCCAUUCCUCAUGCUGGUGGCCAGCCAUCUACUACAGACAUUACUGAAGAGCAGUACUUGCAUCGUCGCCUUUAGGCAACUGAAAAGUAUGACUGACAUAAAAAUCCAGAGCUUUCAAAUCCAGAGGCCCUCAUUGCUGGUAGAAACAAGAGAGGGAAAUAUAUUCAUAUUCUAGACAGGCACUAGAGAGAGGUUCUCUGCUUAAAACUGGACUAAAUCUCCAGCUUCAUACGUCAACAUGAAGGGAGGAGUAACUCAGCACUGCUCUCUCCAGCAUCACAAGGCUCUGAAGGUACUGCCUCUGACAGACUUUUUUUCUCUGAGUGGAUGAGUUAUUGAUCAAGUAAGAGAUAAAAAAAAUAGGCACUUACUUUGUGCCACAUUGCUCUGAUCAGUGAUAGAAGCUCACUGCUGGAUACCGAUCUUAAUACAAUCUCAUGAACUCAGCAGAUCCUUUUCCUUAGUCUGCACUAAUGUCAUAUUAAGUGUCUUUGUGUUUUUUACCAUAUUAAGCAUUUCUGAAACUUGAAGAUUGAUUUUGGUUUGAUUUUAAAGGGCUGAGAGAUUUUAGAAUUAGAUUUUAAUAGCCAAUUAUAGAUUAUUAAACAGUGGAAAAAAUUUAAAGCCAUUAAAAUAAUCUUUUAAACCUUCCUUAAAAUUACAUGCGAUCCACUGAGAAUAUUCAUCCAGCUGUAUUUGAAAAAUAUUAAUUGGAAGUCAGUGCAAAUAUAAAUGCUAAUGUGAACUUAACCAGAACGUGAGGGUUUCUGAACUGGAAAAGCUCUCAGAGCACACAGAAGUCACCUGUCAAGGUGGUUUUGGGACAACCAUAUGUACUAUGGGAUGACGGAGGGCAAAAAUUACGGAGGGCCACUAUGUGACUAAUUCUGCUUACUUCUAUUUUGUUUGUUUGAACAUCAGAAAUUCCUCACACGUAUCCUGUGUCUUCCAGUGAUUUGUUACACCUCUGUAAAAUACUGAUUUCAUUUCUAAGGGUGUUUCUGCCUUUAAAGAGCAGUAUCUGUCUGGCUCAGUUGGCAGUGCUGACCAGAAUAAAAACAAACAAACAACAAAAAACAAAAAUAAAUGAACAAAUAAAUGAAAAACAUCCCUGAUCAAAUAUCAGUAACUGUUACAGAACAGGAACUAAAAGAGGGGAGAUUUAGGUUAGAUGUUAGGAGGAAAUGCUUUCCCCAGAGGGCAGUGAGGUGCUGACACAGCUGCCCAGAGAAGCUG